rnacentral:rRNA from 1 species
AACGCGAAGAACCUUACCCAGGCUUGACAUGCACUAGACCGCACCAGAAAUGGUGCUUCCCUUCGGGGCUGGUGCACAGGUGCUGCAUGGCUGUCGUCAGCUCGUGCCGUGAGGUGUUUGGUUAAGUCCAGCAACGAGCGCAACCCUUAUCAUUAGUUGCCAACAUUUAAGGUGGGAACUCUAAUGAGACUGCCUGGGUUAACCAGGAGGAAGGUGAGGAUGACGUCAAGUCCGCAUGGCCCUUAUGUCUGGGGCUACACACGUGCUACAAUGGUCGGUACAGAAGGCAGCGAAACCGCGAGGCGAAGCAAAUCCCCAAAACCGACCCCAGUUCAGAUUGUAGUCUGCAACUCGACUACAUGAAGACGGAAUUGCUAGUAAUGGCGAGUCAGCAACAUCGCCGUGAAUACGUUCCCGGGCCUUGUA